UUGCAAACUGAACAUCAGCUUCUCUUGCAGUAUAGACAUACGAUGAAAUGAUAGCAUCUAUGUUCAAACCAAAAACACAUUGGUGCCCUUAUUUGUCUUCAACCUUGAACAUCCCAGGGGGCAGAAUUCAGGAGUACUGUAUUCUCAAUGCAAUAGGACACAAAUGAAAAAUCAAGGUGUAGUUAGGCUUCACAUUCAAGUGCCAAACAUUAAUACCUUGAGGCAUCUCUGUAAUUUGCAAUAUAUCAGCAAACUAAAGGAAUAAAAACUAACCCUUAAAAAUAAGGAAGUACAUUUUUUUAUAAUGAGGUAUAGUAUCACGUACCUAAAGGUAUGGAUGUUUCCAUGUCUGGCUAUAUGUUCAUCCAACAGUAAGCAUGCCCCCAGUUUCAAUCAAUUUUUUUUUAGCAAGCACGCCCUCUAGGGAAACAGCACCACGGUAAUCCUGAAUUGUAGAUAGAAUGCAAGUCAUUUCAUAUUUCCGUAGAUUUAAGUAAGUAUAUGAUUAUUUGUGAAAUGGUAGAACCCUACAGUAGAAGAACAACAAAUAGCAGUCAUUCAAUUGUAUCAGUCUCAUGUAUUAGAUCAACCCCAUGGUAUUCAGAGUCGAAUGAUACUGUCAAGCGAAUGACAUACUUGAAAUUAAACAAGAAUAUCCCCCGUUUCUACAAAACAAUCAUAGGAAGUAAUAGAAAAUUACCAAUAAAUUCAUAUACUAAACUAACAUGAGCUUGAAAGAGAGAUCCAGGGUUGUAGUUUGACGAUUCAUCUCGUCAAAUGUAUGACGAUUCAUCUGGUCAAGGGUAUGUUCAGAGGUAUUUAAGUCUAUUAAGCUACUGGAUAGUAUUUUAGUAUGAUCUUUGGGUGCUUCUUUUCUCUUAUUAGAUAGAUCACUUCAGUUUCGCAAUUUCUCUUGACAUUCCAAUAAUUGCCCUACUAAUAUUUCCAGUCUGUUGCACUCUAUAUGCAUAGUGACUUGAUUUUUCCACAUUUGUGCCUGCAAAAUCUGGUGCAAAUCAUUCAAAAUGAGAUUUGACGAGGAUAGGCUUCCCCCGCUAUUUUAGAUACAACAUUUAUAAAUGAUGCUACAUGUUCUGCUACUAAUAAUAUAGCAUAUGAAAAUAAAUGUUGCACUUUGAAAGCUACACAGACAGAGCACUACUACUUGUGUAGACUAAUCUUUUUUUCCUUAUCGAUAGCUACCACUUGCUUACAUGAAGCUAUAACUGUGUGUUUGCUCCCAAGACUGAGACAAGAGAAACUAGCUCUUGAGAUUUUAUACUGCUUGUAUUCUCCAUGAAUUUUGAUUACAAACCAGAGAGGAGGUGGAAGGGAACAAGCAUUUUGUUAACUCUUUGCUAGCAACUCUAUUGUUUUCAGAUCUGUUUGCCCAUAGGAUGUUCUUAAGAUGAAUACUCUGUAUCGACUGAACCAUGUAAUUUUUUCAAGUAGGUUUACAAUAAUAAUGUUAGACUAAUUUUGGUUUGUUCUAGGUUUAUGUGGCAGGAUGGUCCUGAUGAACACGCUGAAGAAACACGCUUGCCUCUCCACCAGGAAAACACUUUGUAGAGAUAGUGGAGGCCUGGAAACAAUGGAAAAUACGAAACAAGUCCUACUUACAUGAUCUAGGUUGACAUAGUGAUCGCAGACCUCAAACAGUUUGAGUGCAGAAUUCGUCCUGAGCACACAAAGGCGUCCUCAUUGUUAUUCACUGCUACUUGCACUUGUAAUAUCUGUUUUCGUACCUUUUUGUGCUCGGCCAAAAUGGCAUAAGCCUCUGUACAUAUGCCAUGCAAAUAAUUCUGCUGCUGUAAUUCCAAUUUUUUUUUGCCUGUCAUGGUAGUGCCCAACUCAUAUAUGUAUAUGUGUUGCUGAAAA